AGAAUACCCUGGUCGCCUGUGAGAGUGUCAGGCCAGCUCCUGGCUGCUUUUCUCUUUUUCAAAAGACGGUCAUCAAUUCCCACUUGCCUCGCAGCUCCCUGGUGACUCGCUCAGCCUGUGGCGGUGCUAAAAGCUGCGUUCCUCAGGAGGAAGGCAGCGGCACAAAGCAGAGAGGCAGAGCGGCCCUCUUUAGGUCUGUUUACUGGACCCACCACUUUAUUCCAGGAGGAGCCUAUGAUCAGUAUUCACAUCAUUCUCUGAGACGUCUCAUCACUGGGUCAAUGGCCUCAUAAACCGGAGAAAUAGGAAGGCAAGUUUAUUUCUUCUCUUUGAGCUUCACCAUGUGCGAUCUGGGCAAGAUGCUUAACCCCACUGAGCCACAUGUUCCUCAUCUGUAAAAUGGAGGUAAUAAUAUACCUUAUAUCGUGUGGACGUUAUAUAGGACGGUGCGUAUAAAGAGAUUAGCAUGGGCCCUGGAAGGUUCGCGUAACGCUGCAAGUCAGAACACAAACUGAAUGGAGACAAUGAAGCCAACUGUAUAAGAAAAGCAUCAAAAAGAUUGGAAAGAAAUAUGGCUAAAUUGGUUGCCUCUGAGAAGAAAGCAAUUAAAGGAGUUUGUUUUUAUGGUUUUUA